UACGUAGGUGGCAAGCGUUGUCCGGAUUUAUUGGGUUUAAAGGGUGCGUAGGCGGCUUUGUAAGUCAGUGGUGAAAUACGGUAGCUUAACUAUCGAGGUGCCAUUGAUACUGCAGAGCUUGAGUACAGAUGAGGUAGGCGGAAUUGACGGUGUAGCGGUGAAAUGCUUAGAUAUCGUCAAGAACACCUAUAGCGAAGGCAGCUUACUAGGCCGUAACUGACGCUGAGUCACGAAAGUGUGGGGAUCAAACAGG
rnacentral:rRNA from 1 species